rnacentral:misc_RNA from 1 species
GAUGAAGAACGUAGCGAAAUGCGAUACGUAAUGUGAAUUGCAGAAUUCAGUGAAUCAUCGAAUCUUUGAACGCAUAUUGCGCUCUCUGGUAUUCCGGAGAGCAUGCUUGUUUGAGUAUCAGUAAACACCUCAACUUCCAUAUCUUUUUUGAAAUGGGAGUUGGACUUGAGUGAUCCCAACGCUUUUCCUCACCGAAAAGUGGCGGGUUACUUGAAAUGCAGGUGCAGCUGGACUUUUCUCUGAGCUAUAAGCAUAUCUAUAUAGUCUGCCUAAAAAACAGAUUAUUACCUUUGCUGCAGCUAACAUAAAGGAGAUUAGUUCUUGUGCUGACUGAUGCAGGAUUCACAAAGACAGGCUUCGGCCGACUUUGUAAACUCGAUCUCAAAUCAAGUAAGACUACCCGCUGAACUUAAGCAUAUCAAUAAGCGGAGGA